UCUCUCAAUCCAAGAUUUCCAAAGCUCUCUACGUCGGCCACCAUACGUCGUUGGCCAAAUCCAUCUCUGAUCGUCCCCCAAUCAUGGCUAAAGAAGACAAAGCACUCUCCUCCUUCAUCUCUUCUCUAUUCUUCUCACAAUCGACUAACUCUUUUCUCCCCCUUUCAUUUCUCUCGACCAAAACCAACGAGGGCCCUUAACGCCUUUCAUCGGCGCAGCUCACUCCUCCGACCGCAACCAAACAGCCCCGAACAGAACGACACGCUCCCUCUUAAAAGAUGACACGAUCGAAGCUCAACAAAACUAACCCUACACUAACAUGCAAACGCCUAAACAGAUAAGGCCUCUCAAUCCCUCAACUCCUAGAGGCGGUGACUAAAGAGACUCCGACGGGAUCCUAACCCUGACGAUUCCUACUCAUAUGAGGGUCCCCUAGAAUCUAUUGAUAAAACCCAAACGGCUAUGGGAAAAAGUUGAAGAGAUUCCCCCAACCUUAACAUGACUCGGGCCCCUUAUCUCCAGCGAUAUAACCCCGAAUGACUAUGAGACGGAGCUGACGAUACUCUAUCGACGUUCGCACAACUCAGGGGAUACUGUGAGAGCCAAUUGGCAUUUUUCUCAUGAGGCUCGAUGGGGACCAAUGGUGAUGCUACCGUGGCUGUUAGAGGUAUAUAGGGGACCAGUGCUGAGCGUCUAUCGUGGCCAAGGGACCACUGUUGCUGCUGCUGUGGUGGCUGUUCGUGUGAAGGCAUGGGGUUUACUGGCGUGGCUUGCUAGAAUUGUUUUUGGGUUUGUUGGAUAAGCGGGCCUCAACUAGGUUCAGGUUUUAUGUUAAAGGUUUGGGUACAUUUGAAAUGG